ACUCCUUCCUGCAGUGUCCUGCCUAGGAAAAAGAUGGGAUUGAGAGUUACCAAUACUGUAAUUAGUGCUAGUGAUUUACUAGCUAUGUAAAUCUCUGUGACUCCCUAGUUGUGUAACUGGGCACAUCAUUGCAUCUUUGGAGCCUGUGUUUCCUCAUCAGAAAAUGGAGAAAUAGGGCUAGAAGAUAUGUGCAGACAUUUCAGUUUUCCAGCCAAACCCUUUAUUGUCACCUAAGGGAUAGUUCUCAGAGCAUGGCUGAGUCAGGGCACUUUUCAUUUUUCUUCAUGUUAGUUUCCCUGUGAUAAACAUGGAGAAUGGGACUAUAAAAGUGGUUCUUAAUGAGCAAGACGUGUCAAAAUUACUUGGGAAACUUUUUAAAAACGUACAUACCCUUGUCCUACCCCAGACCUACUAAUUGAGUGGCACAGAUCUUAAUAAGCUUGGAUACCCAAAUACCCAAUUACAUAAGACCUAGAAAUGUCAUCUGCAGGGCCUGAGCCGAUGCUUGAUUACUCAAUAGGCAAUAAUCAUAUAUAUGGGUCACAUGCAAAGCAGGGGCAUGUCCCCCAAUGCUGGUUAUUCUCUGUCCUCUCACUACCCAGUUGCAUUCUCGGCCCUUCUCUACCCUACCCCUGGAAACUGACCUCUAUGAACUGUAUUUCCAGGUCUCACUUGCCCUCUGGCUUCUGACUGAGCUUGGCUCAUGAGAGUCAGAGGCAGAUCUGAAGGUGGAAGGAAAGUGUGGGUGGGGUUCCCCCUCACCAGCUUGCUGGGCUGAGCUGAAGUUCUGGCAAUGGCUGUGCUUCUCCAUGGCUACACCUCCAGGCUCCUGCGCUGGACCUCAGACUUAGGGAUGGCAACCUCUCCCUGCUGUUGCUGGUCUUUAGGUCACGUCAUGCAGCUGGUAAAGUCUACACUGACAUCCAAGGCGCCUUCAGGACCUGCAGCCCAGCCCCACCUUGUGUAUAUGACUGGAAUGCAUGGAACUGGAUAGGAGCUCACCAAGUAAAGAGAGAAAACCUCAAGCUAUAGUCAUUGGCCCCAGUGCAGGUGUCUAAAGGCCCAGGCUCCAUUCCGUGCUUAGCAAGUCAACUAACCCCUGUGAAAAUCCAUGUAAUACCUGUCUGUGGGAAAGAAGAAGAAGGAGAAGGAGAAGAAGAAGUAAAACGUACACAGUGCACAGUAAGUUUCCUUCCCAUCCUUCACCCCCUGCCUCCCUCCCCAGGGACAACCAUUGUGGAUGGUUUCUUGGAUAUCCUUACAAAAUGUUCAAUGAAUUUAUAAAUAGGUCUCCUCCCUCCCUUCUCCGUUACACACAAACUGGAAAAACUAUGUAUGAUGAUGUUCAUCUUGCUUUAUUCACUUGGCAGAAUAUCCUGGAAUUCUUUCCUCAUCAGUGUAUGUGUGCUGCUCACCCACAGAUGCAUAUACCACAGAUCUACACCAUUCAUUAAAUGGCUGCAUGGUAUCCCAUUACCUGGAUAUGUUACCACGUGUUAAUCAGUCCCCAUAGGGUAGAUAUUUAGGCUGUACUAGGUUUUGGCUAGUACAACAAUGAAUGUCUGCGUAUGAACAAAGCUGUUUGAUAAAUCCCUAAGAAAGAGCUAAAUCACUGGCUAAAGGCAGCAUGCAUUUUUGAUUUUGAUAUUAAUCCAAAGAUGAUGCAUCAGUCUCCACUCACAUAGUAUUUCCUCACACUUUCACAACACUGAGUGUUACUAAUCCUUUUGAUAUUUUUAUUUUUGCCAAUUUGAGAGGUAGGAAACAUCUCAUUAGGUUUACUCAUUUAAUUAUGAAUGGGAUUCAGCCUCUUCUCACGUUUAUUAGUCAUGCAUAAGCUGUUCUUUCUGUGACCUGCCUGUUUCUUCUUUUGUGGUUUGAUUUGAGAUCCUUGGCAGUCACAAGGCCCUUCCCUAGACCUGCUCUGCACACACCUGUAGUCCCUCCCCCUGUCCUGCUCGGUUCUCUACUGCCGCCUAGUGACAGGGGUUGGAUUUAGCACAGUUCCUCGCAGAUGCUCUAGUUGCAGGCUCCACGCUGGGGGUUUAACUCCCAGUUGGAAUCAUGCCCUUAGUUCCCAAAUAAAAAAAUCAGGACCUCUAGUUAAAUAUGAAUUUCAUAUAAACGACCAAUAACUUUUUGGUUGGUACCUACUUAUUGCUAAAAACUAUGCAUGGUUUAUCUGAAAUCCAAAUUUAACUAGGUGUCAGGUAAUUUAUCAGGCAACCCUAUUCUAAGGCCUCCCGCUAAAUCUGGGUCCCCAUCGUCACCACGCCUUACCUCCUUUAUUCUCAGCAAGUUCUACUAUGCCACAUUCCAACCUGGCAGUUUUCGAAACUAUGGUUGCAGGUGAUACAUAAAUCACUGUGGUUAAGACCUGGGCUCUGGAUUUGAAUCCUGACUCCGGCCACUUACAAGGUGUGAAAUCUGGUGAAAGUAACAUCUUCUCUGGAGCUCAGGUUUCCUCAUCAAGAGAAUAAUAAUGUUUUCCUCAUUGGGUUGCUUUGAUGAUUUCUGACAUUAAAGCUACCAUUUAUUAAGCACUUUA